UACAGAGGGGGCAGGCGUUGUUCGGAAUUACUGGGCGUAAAGGGCGCGUAGGCGGCCUUCUAAGUCGAACGUGAAAUCCCCGGGCUCAACCCGGGAACUGCGUCCGAUACUGGAAGGCUUGAAUCCGGGAGAGGGAUGCGGAAUUCCAGGUGUAGCGGUGAAAUGCGUAGAUAUCUGGAGGAACACCGGUGGCGAAGGCGGCAUCCUGGACCGGCAUUGAC
rnacentral:rRNA from 1 species